rnacentral:rRNA from 1 species
GGACUACUCGGGUUUCUAAUCCUGUUUGAUCCCCUUGCUCUCGCGCCUCAGCGUCAGGAAUAAGCUAGAAAACCGCCUUCGCCACCGGUGUUCCUCCACAUAUCUACGCAUUUCACCGCUACUCGUGGAAUUCCAUUUUCUCCGCCAAUCCUCAAGAUCCGCAGUUUCAAGUGCCGCUCCGACGUUAAGCAUCGGCAUUUCACACCUGACUUACAGAUCCGCCUACGCGCCCUUUACGCCCAGUAAUUCCGAUUAAUGCUUGCACCCUCCGUAUUACCGCGGCUGCUGGCAC